rnacentral:rRNA from 1 species
CAUGGCUCCUUGAAUUUAAUGUAUAAGGAGUCGGACCUGCCCAGUGAAAUAUUUUAAACGGCCGCGGUACUCUGACCGUGCAAAGGUAGCAUAAUCAUUUGCCCUAUAAUUGAGGGCUAGUAUGAAUGGUUUGACAAGAAUAAAGCUGUCUCCAUGUAAUUAUAUAGAAUUUUAUUUUUAGGUGAAGAAGCCUAAAUUUUAUUAAAAGACAAGAAGACCCUAUCGAGCUUUAAAGAAGUUAAUAAAGUAAUAAUAAAUAUUAACUAAAAUAGAUUUUAUUAAGAAUUUUGGUUGGGGCGACAAAGGAACAAUUAAAGCUUCUUUUAAAAUAAAGAAACCUACAAGUAUUGAUCCAGAAUAAUUCUGAUUAAAGAAAUUAGUUACCGUAGGGAUAACAGCAUUAUCUUUUUUGAGAGCUCAUAUCGAAAAAAAGGUUUGUGACCUCGAUGUUGGACCAGGAUACCCAGAAGAUGCAGAAGUCUUCAAAGGUUGGUCUGUUCGACCAUUAAAAUCCUACGUGAUCUGAGUUCAGACCGGCGUGAGCCAGGUCAGUUUCUAUCUUUUAUUAGUAAAGUAAGUUUAGUACGAAAGGACCAACUUAUAGUAUUAUUAUAAUAUUAGCUUAUAGAUUGAAUAUAAUGUAAAAAUAAAUAAAGUUUAG